rnacentral:miRNA from 1 species
GCUCUGGCUCCGCGGGCGGAAGAGGCGGCGGCGGCGGCAGAAGCGGCGGCGGCGGCGGCGGGAGCCAAGGAGGCGGCUCCGGACGC